AAAACAGUACGUGAAAACAGAAUUAGGAGAAAAGAGACAAGGCGAGACUAGGGCUUGAAAAAGGGAGAAGAACCCUGAUUCAAUUAUGAAUUUUUGCAAGCAAUCUAAGGUCUAGAAGAGCUUUCCCAAUGAGCUUGGUCCUGUGAACUUCGCCCAACGAGAUGAUGUGCUCGCCUGGUGAGGAUGACAACAAAGGUUGUUGUUCACAACUCGAAUUGUCGUAACUUGAGUUUUGGGAGUCGGAUUGAGGCGCGGUUUGAAGCGCUGGAAAGCUAACGAACAAAGCCACGUUAUGGUAGUGUCUUGUAAGAUGAAUUACCAUGUUGAAUGAUGUGUGAGUAUAUGUUAUGAAGUGUGUGUGUGUGUGUAAAAUUGUGUGACUUGUACAUGCUUGAUGAUGAAUCAAUGUUAAGAUGAUUUAAUAUGAUUGAAUGAUGUAUGCGAAUAUAUAUUUGACAUGGUACUACUAUUUGGUCACUAUUUGGAAGUA